rnacentral:tmRNA from 1 species
GCAUUUGCAUCGCGCGCCCCGCCACCCUAUAUUGGAGGGGCUCGCAAGAGCUAUGGCGAUAAACUGCCAUCGUAAUAAACCUUUCGGACCCGGGGGCGGUACCCGGCGCCUCCACCAUUUCUUCUCUGCUUGAGAAGAGCCAAUGGGGGCGAAAUAGGAUCGACGAGGGCGUAAAGGGUGUGUUUUUGCUCGGCAUUGUACCACCGUUAUCGGGCUAUAACAGUAGUUGCAAAUGACAACACUGCAGAGGUUCGUCUGGCUGCGUAAGCGGUUCGACACCUCGAACUUGAAGUCCUGGGGCCUGUUGCAGGGCGUUAGGCGGGGUCCGCAGGCACCUGGCAACAGAAGCCUGCAUU